CAGCAGAAACCCUAACCGUUCAGUUUGGAUCGUAUUUAACGCCUCUUAGGCCGUCAUUUUCAGUCUUUUGGUCAAUUGAGAGGAACCCUAAUCGCCGUGGACGCCUAGAGCAGGAGAGAAAGCUUUGGAACUUGGAAGAAUUGGUUAGGCAAGAAGAAGAGGGAUUUGGCUAAAGGAAUAUCAAGGAGGAUUGAGUCCUGAGAUUUGGGGGACACAGAGAGUGCGUUUUCAGGGAGGUUGUAGCUCGUCGGUUGUGCACGAGUCAUUUCAGGGGUUGCUAGCUUUCAGCAUAUACGAGGUGAGUCUUCUCACUAUACUGUACCCGGAAGGGUUUGAUUGUGUGACCGGAAGGUCGAAUAUGUUAUGUGAUAUGUAUGCUGUAUGUGGUAAGUUAAUUGUUAUAUGUGCUAUGUAUGAUGUGUGGGCCAGAAGGCAAUAUGUUAUGGGCCGGAAGGCGAUUAUGUUAUGGGCCGGAAGGCGUUGUAUUGAGGACCAGAAAGGUCAGGGCCUGGAAAGGCGUAUGUGUGUAAGUGAGUCUUCUCACUAUACUGUACCCGGAAGGGUUUGAUUGUGUGACCGGAAGGUCGAAUAUGUUAUGUGAUAUGUAUGCUGUAUGUGGUAAGUUAAUUGUUAUAUGUGCUAUGUAUGAUGUGUGGGCCGGAAGGCAAUAUGUUAUGGGCCGGAAGGCGAUUAUGUUAUGGGCCGGAAGGCGUUGUAUUGAGGACCAGAAAGGUCAGGGCCUGGAAAGGUGUAUGUGUGUAAGUGUAUA